rnacentral:snRNA from 1 species
ACUCAUACCUUGCAGGGGAAAUACCAUGUCAUAAAAGUGUUUUUCCCAGGGGGAGGCUCAUCCAUUGCAUUUCAGGUGUGCUGCUGAACCCUGUGAUUUCCCCAAAUGUGGGGAAUUCAACUGCAUAAUUUUUGUUACUGAGCGAUUGUGUUUGUGAUUUCCCUGG